CCUUCAAUAUCAGCAUAUAUGGUUGAAAAAUCAUCAUCAUUCACUCCCACUUUUAUACCCUCAGGUGGAGAUUCAUCGAGAUUCUUCAACUCCUUUGCAAGUUGCUUUAUUACAUUGGGAGGAAGAUUUUCAUUUGUUGCCAUCAGAGACGUCUUCGCGAUCACUGCCCUUGUUUGCACUGUGAUGUUAACCUUCGAAAAGAAAUGGAGAGAAUGAGAGGUGAAGCGAUGGGUUUUGGUGUCGAAGGCUUUGAGUAUGAGGAAACGGAAAGUUUAGUGAUCGGAGAGUCUGGCAUGUGCCGGAAUUGAAGAAGAUUGUGGCCUAUCGGUAGUGGUUACAGGGAUGAGGGGAAAAGAACCCAGAACCAGUACGGAAGAAAUGUGAACUAGGGUUGGAUGGGAAUGUGAUAAAUUUUUGAUUUUGAA
rnacentral:misc_RNA from 1 species